rnacentral:rRNA from 1 species
UGCCGCGUGUGUGAAGAAGGCCUUCGGGUUGUAAAGCACUUUUGUCCGGAAAGAAAACCUUCGCUCUAAUACAGUGGGGGGAUGACGGUACCGGAAGAAUAAGCACCGGCUAACUACGUGCCAGCAGCCGCGGUAAUACGUAGGGUGCGAGCGUUAAUCGGAAUUACUGGGCGUAAAGCGUGCGCAGGCGGUUCGUUAAGACAGAUGUGAAAUCCCCGGGCUUAACCUGGGAACUGCAUUUGUGACUGGCGAGCUAGAGUAUGGCAGAGGGGGGUAGAAUUCCACGUGUAGCAGUGAAAUGCGUAGAGAUGUGGAGGAAUACCGAUGGCGAAGGCAGCCCCCUGGGCCAAUACUGACGCUCAUGCACGAAAGCGUGGGGAGCAAACAGGAUUAGAUACCCUGGUAGUCCACGCCCUAAACGAUGUCAACUAGUUGUUGGGGAUUCAUUUCCUUAGUAACGUAGCUAACGCGUGAAGUUGACCGCCUGGGGAGUACGGUCGCAAGAUUAAAACUCAAAGGAAUUGACGGGGACCCGCACAAGCGGUGGAUGAUGUGGAUUAAUUCGAUGCAACGCGAAAAACCUUACCUACCCUUGACAUGGUCGGAACCUGGCUGAAAG